GGUCAUGUUUUUUUUUUUAUUUUGGAAGAAUAUUUUAUGGGGGUGGGGCCCUCUCUUCUUAUGGAUUUGGAAUACAUAUACAUAGGAAUGUUUUUUUUCAAAAAAGAGAGAACACACAGAUCACAUAAAAAAGGCAUACCAAAAAGGAGGGACCCACUCCUUCUUCUUCACUCAAUUUUUCCACAAAUAUAUACACAUCACACAACAAUACAUAACAGAUAGAGAGAGGGUGACGAACAGAACCAAAAAAAAAAAAGGAAGAAAAAAAAAUCCUCAUCGUCUUCUUCACUAGACCACCCUAUUCCCCGCUUACUGGAGCUCUGACCAACAACCCAUCUGAACCCCCACCCUUAACCACCGGAAAAACCAUGAACCACCAAUGUACCACCAUCUAACUUCGACCAUAGAUGAACAUAUCCACCAUUAAAAACACUAUAAAAACACACCAAAACAAAAAUAGUACACACACACGAAACCAGUAACUAAACACCCAUGUCUCCACCUUAAAACUAGUGACCAAACACCCCCGUCGUCUUCAACUGUUCCCCGCCAGCACCCCAGUUCCCAAACCACUAAACCAGCGAUUUAAGCGAUCGAAAAAUGUCCCUAAACCACUGUUAAACCUCCCCAAAACCACCCUCAUUUAUAUCCCCUAAAUCAGUGGAAAAAAAGAAGAAAACAUAAUCAGGUAUAUUGUUUUCUGUUUGGUUUUUCAACUGAAAAGUUAAGGUGUUUCAAAUUAAAUAAGGGGUUUCAUCCAUGCCGUAGUUCGAGUCAAGGUUUGUUUUAGUUGGGUUUCAGAUCUAUUUCGAGUUCGGGUUGCGGUUCCCGUCGAGUUCGGAUUCAUCUAAUUUCAGGUGCUCAGGGAGACAGGCUUGAUCCAUAGCUACAUUCUCAGGGACUAUAUAGCGGAGCUCCAUUUCAUUCGGAGCUAUAUCUUUUGGUAUUGAUUCUUUUGUGUACAUAAUUAUGGGCAUAGCGGGGUCUUGUCCCGCCUAUAUGAUAUGACAUACUCUCCUUAGAGGCUCGUAGACAUGCGUAUAUGGUUAGAUGGGUUUGGCCUUGUCGGCCUAUAUUUUGUAUAUCAUUUUGUUAGCCUUAUCGGCUUAUGUACAUUGAUAUGGCAUAGAUGCCAAUGAUGAUAUAAAGGUAUUGUUGUCCAA